CGGUCCCAAUCGCGGGGUGAACCGUUAACCAAUUCCUUCCCCAAUUCAUUUCCUCCUUUCGUCGCUGCCCCCUUCUCUCUCUCUCUCUCUCUCUCUCUCUCUCAUUUGUGGUCGAGUCACUCACUGAGUCACAGAGCGAUUCCGCCAUGAAAGAAGACCAAGACCAAUACCGAGAAGCCGCUACCGGCGAAAAGCGGAAGCUGGAAGACAGCAGCGUCAGCAUCCUACUGGCCAAGCAGAAAGCUCAGGAAAUCGCCGCCCGACUUUUUAGCGACGCUGAGUCAAAGCGUCCUCGACUGGAGGAGGAGCAUCCCUACCGCCAACCCAGCCCCGUCUACAACCCUCCUCCUUACCCUGUUUUUACUCCGCAAUCAGGACAGUCUUAUGGCUCUCCAAGCACAAGCAAGAAAAUAACUAUACCAAAUGGGAAGGUUGGGGUAAUUAUUGGAAAACAAGGAGAAACGAUAAAAAGUCUACAACUUCAGUCAGGGGCCAAAAUCCAGAUAACCCGGGAUUCAGAAGCUGAUCCUACUUCUCUUACGAGGGAUGUGGACUUGACCGGUACGCCUGAGCAGAUCAGUAGGGCAGAACAACUUAUCAGUGAUGUCCUAGCAGAGGCAGAUGCAGGGGUUCCAUCUACAAAUCAGGGAUUCAACUCAAUGCAACCUGGAUCAGAACAGUUUAUAAUGAAAGUACCCACCAAUAAGGUUGCUUUGAUUAUAGGCAAGGGAGGUGAGAUGAUCAGGACUAUGCAAAGCAAGUCAGGAGCUCGUAUUCAGGUGGUACCAUUGCAUCCUCCUCCUGGUGAUAUGUCAACUGAAAGAUCAGUACAUAUAAAUGGAACGGCAGAGCAAAUUGAGGCAGCCAAAGAAUUGGUCAAUGAAGUAAUCAGUGGGAAGCAUAUGGUAAACUCCUCUGGAACGAAUAGUUAUGUCCAGCAGUCUUUCCCCCCUGGUAGUUGGGCCCCACCAGGACAACAACAGCAACCGCAUUAUGGGUACGCACAACCAGGAAGUUAUGCACCUCCUGCUUCAUACUACGGCAACUAUCCUACACAGGUAGCAGGUUGGGAUCAGUCAAACCAAUUAGCCACCUCUCAACCACCUCAGGACGGUAGCGGAUACAAUUACUACGGACAACCACCUCAAAAUCCUAGCUACAACUACAAUCAGACACCUCCUGUUGCCAGCCAUGGUUAUGAUCAGGGGUACGCUCAGCAGCCACCAAGUUAUGGAGGCCAAGCUCCAAUAUCUGAUUACCAGCAACAAUAUGCAACUUCAGGGUAUGGACCACCUGCGGUGCCAUCCAUCGGGGAUGCAACUGCUUCCCAAAGUACCCAGCCUUCAGCUGCUUAUCAGGUUCCUUACAGCCAGCCAAUGGCAAACCCUCAAGCUGGGUAUUGGACUCAUCCAGGCGGCACAGGCCACCAACCACAUCCUGGUUAUUACCAAGCAGGUUAUGGACACGGUGAGCACCAUCAGCCAGACCCUUCACAUUAUGCCCCAGCAGUGAAUCCUCUUACAAACAACGGAGAGUCACAGCACCAGCAACAAGACCAUUCACAGCUUCCAACCAAUGGAUACGAAGAGCCAUCAGGUUACGAAGAGCCAUCAGGUUAUGGAGCUGAAAGAAGCGGUGACAAGAAAUCAGAUGGAGAUGCGUUGGCCCCAGCAACAGAGACCGUUGGUUCUGAAAGCUGAUACUAUAGCUGGUUAAGGAUGUCGUCACUUUUUCUAACUUGGAAUGAUUUUUGAUAAUUGCUCUCACAUGCCAUCUGUGUGGCUGCAGAACAUUAUAUUUCUGGUCUUAAAAGUUCCGGAGGUCCAGUCCAUGAAAUAUUUGUACCGGAGUGGCACUGUCUGAGCUAUGAAAGUAAAUUUUUUUGUUGUUUGUUAAAAACAAAACAAUACAACAGAUGAAGUGAAGCAUGCCACUAAAAGGGAGAG